rnacentral:rRNA from 1 species
UAAGUAGGUAGUGAAAUCUGGUGGCUCAACCAUUCAGACUAUUACCUAAACUGACAGACUCGAGAGCGUUAGGGGUAGCUGGAAUUUCUAGUGUAGGAGUGAAAUCCGUAGAUAUUAGAAAGAACACCAAUAGCGUAGGCAGGCUACUGGGACGUUUCUGACACUAAGGCACGAAAGCGUGGGGAGCAAACGGGAUUAGAUACCCCGGUAGUCCACGCCGUAAACGAUGGAUACUA